rnacentral:rRNA from 1 species
AUUGAACGCUGGCGGCAGGCCUAACACAUGCAAGUCGAGCGGAUGAAGGGAGCUUGCUCCUGGAUUCAGCGGCGGACGGGUGAGUAAUGCCUAGGAAUCUGCCUGGUAGUGGGGGAUAACGUCCGGAAACGGGCGCUAAUACCGCAUACGUCCUGAGGGAGAAAGUGGGGGAUCUUCGGACCUCACGCUAUCAGAUGAGCCUAGGUCGGAUUAGCUAGUUGGUGGGGUAAAGGCCUACCAAGGCGACGAUCCGUAACUGGUCUGAGAGGAUGAUCAGUCACACUGGAACUGAGACACGGUCCAGACUCCUACGGGAGGCAGCAGUGGGGAAUAUUGGACAAUGGGCGAAAGCCUGAUCCAGCCAUGCCGCGUGUGUGAAGAAGGUCUUCGGAUUGUAAAGCACUUAAAGUUGGGAGGAAGGGCAGUAAGUUAAUACCUUGCUGUUUUGACGUUACCAACAGAAUAAGCACCGGCUAACUUCGGG